rnacentral:rRNA from 1 species
GACGAACGCUGGCGGCGUGCCUAAUACAUGCAAGUAGAACGCUGAAGGAGGAGCUUGCUUCUCUGGAUGAGUUGCGAACGGGUGAGUAACGCGUAGGUAACCUGCCUGGUAGCGGGGGAUAACUAUUGGAAACGAUAGCUAAUACCGCAUAACAGUAGAUGUUGCAUGACAUUUGCUUAAAAGGUGCAAUUGCAUCACUACCAGAUGGACCUGCGUUGUAUUAGCUAGUUGGUGGGGUAACGGCUCACCAAGGCGACGAUACAUAGCCGACCUGAGAGGGUGAUCGGCCACACUGGGACUGAGACACGGCCCAGACUCCUACGGGAGGCAGCAGUAGGGAAUCUUCGGCAAUGGACGGAAGUCUGACCGAGCAACGCCGCGUGAGUGAAGAAGGUUUUCGGAUCGUAAAGCCCUGUUGUAAGAGAAGAACGAGUGUGAGAGUGGAAAGUUCACACUGUGACGGUAUCUUACCAGAAAGGGACGGCUAACUACGUGC